AUUUGAGUAGUCUGGUGGCUGUAUGCAGACUGAAGGCAGGACGCUGUCUGCUGUGACACAUGCAGCGCGUUGUGUUGUGUGUGUGUGUGUGUGUGUGAGGCAGACUCAAUCCAACCUACUAGUAGGAUGUGUGUGUGUGUGUGUGUGGAUUCUGAGCUCUCCUAGAAAUCCAGACCGUAUUGGAGCAGAGGCUCCUGCUUAACGCUGGUCACUUGGCUGUCUGGCUGCUCUGGUAGUAUGUGUGUGUGUGUGUGUGUGUGUGUGUGUGUGUGUGUGUGUGUGUGUGUGUGUGUAGGUGAACGGGUAGCCACCUGUGUGUGUCCCUUCCAAUUCCAAUGAACUAAAGUCUCACGUAGUUGGUCAGAUGCUUGAUGAAGUUUGGGUCCAUACAUGACCGACAGACAGACAGACAGACAGACAGACAGACAGACAGACAGGACAGAAGACAGACAGACAGACAGACAGACAGACAGGCAGCAGGCAGGCAGGCAGGCAGACAGACAGACAGACAGACAGAGAGAGAAGUUAGUUAGUUAAUUAGUUAAACACUUUGAAUUAAUUGUAGUCUACUGAAUUGACUGAAGAGCUUGUGCAUUAUGUUGUUUGGGACCUCCACCAGUUUGCAUGGUUCUGUUCUGACUUACAUGGUGUUGUGUUGUUGGUACCCUGAUGGUUCUGUUCUGUCGGUACCCUGAUGGUUCUGUUCUGACUUACAUGGUGUUGUGUUGUUGGUACCCUGAUGGUUCUGUUCUGUCGGUACCCUGAUGGUUCUGUUCUGACUUACAUGGUGUUGUGUUGUUGGUACCCUGAUGGUUCUGUUCUGUCUUACAUGGUGUUGUGUUGUUGGUACCCUGAUGGUUCUGUUCUGUCUUACAUGGUGUUGUGUUGUUGGUACCCUGAUGGUUCUGUUCUAACUUACAUUGUUGUGUUGUUGUACCCUGAUGGUUCUGUUCUGUCUUACCUGGUGUUGUGUUUUGGUACCCUGAUGGUUCUGUUCUGUCUUACAUGGUUUUGUGUUGUUGGUACCCUGUGGUUCUGUUCUCACUUACAUGGUGUUGUGUUGUUGGUACCCUGUGGUUCUGUUC
rnacentral:lncRNA from 1 species